CUUCAAUUACAUCGACAAGUAAUACAACGUAGAUCGACGAAAAAAUAGUCAAGCAACUACGCGUAAUCGAAGAUUACUCAAAAAGUAGUUAUCAGAUCUCGAUAAAAUUUAUAUGUGACUAUAUGAUAAAUAUCAGCUUUCGAUUAAAUUAAAAAUUAUCAAAAUCAGUACACCCAGUAAAAAAUUAUUACGGAUUUUCGAGAGUUUCCCUCGAUUUCUCUGGGAUCCCAUCAUCAGAUCCUGGUUUCCUUAUCACAGUACUAAACUAGGGAUAUCCCCUUUCCAACAAAAAAAGAAUUAUCAAAAUCGGUACAUCCAGCAGAAAGUUAUGCGGUAUAAUACAACGUAGGUCGACGAAAAAAGCGUCAAGUAAAAACGCAUUAUUAGAUAUAACUCGAAAAUUAGUUGUUA
rnacentral:misc_RNA from 1 species